rnacentral:rRNA from 1 species
CCUACGGGUGGCAGCAGUGGGGAAUAUUGCACAAUGGGCGCAAGCCUGAUGCAGCGACGCCGCGUGCGGGAUGGAGGCCUUCGGGUUGUAAACCGCUUUCAGCAGGGACGAGGCCCUCACGGUGACGGUACCUGCAGAAGAAGCCCCGGCUAACUACGUCCCAGCAGCCGCGGUAAUACGUAGGGGGCGAGCGGUAUCCGGAUUCAUUGGGCGUAAAGCGCGCGUAGGCGGCCUGUUAGGUCGGGGGUCAACUAGCGGGGCUCAACCCCGGUCCGCCCCCGAUACCGGCAGGCUUGAGUCUGGUAGGGGAAGGCGGAAUUCCCAGUGUAGCGGUGGAAUGCGCAGAUAUUGGGAAGAACACCGGCGGCGAAGGCGGCCUUCUGGGCCACGACUGACGCUGAGGCGCGAAAGCUAGGGGAGCGAACAGGAUUAGAUACCCUGGUAGUC